UUGAGAUUUUAACACGAAGUGAGUGGCGAACGGGUGAGUAACACGUGGGUAACCUGCCCAGAAGUAGGGGAUAACACCUGGAAACAGAUGCUAAUACCGUAUAACAGAGAAAACCGCAUGGUUUUCUUUUAAAAGAUGGCUCUGCUAUCACUUCUGGAUGGACCCGCGGCGUAUUAGCUAGUUGGUGAGGUAAAGGCUCACCAAGGCAGUGAUACGUAGCCGACCUGAGAGGGUAAUCGGCCACAUUGGGACUGAGACACGGCCCAGACUCCUACGGGAGGCAGCAGUAGGGAAUCUUCCACAAUGGACGCAAGUCUGAUGGAGCAACGCCGCGUGAGUGAAGAAGGGUUUCGGCUCGUAAAGCUCUGUUGUUAAAGAAGAACGUGGGUAAGAGUAACUGUUUACCCAGUGACGGUAUUUAACCAGAAAGCCACGGCUAACUACGUGCCAGCAGCCGCGGUAAUACGUAGGUGGCAAGCGUUAUCCGGAUUUAUUGGGCGUAAAGCGAGCGCAGGCGGUCUUUUAAGUCUAAUGUGAAAGCCUUCGGCUCAACCGAAGAAGUGCAUUGGAAACUGGGAGACUUGAGUGCAGAAGAGGACAGUGGAACUCCAUGUGUAGCGGUGAAAUGCGUAGAUAUAUGGAAGAACACCAGUGGCGAAGGCGGCUGUCUGGUCUGCAACUGACGCUGAGGCUCGAAAGCAUGGGUAGCGAACAGGAUUAGAUACCCUGGUAGUCCAUGCCGUAAACGAUGAUUACUAAGUGUUGGAGGGUUUCCGCCCUUCAGUGCUGCAGCUAACGCAUUAAGUAAUCCGCCUGGGGAGUACGACCGCAAGGUUGAAACUCAAAAGAAUUGACGGGGGCCCGCACAAGCGGUGGAGCAUGUGGUUUAAUUCGAAGCUACGCGAAGAACCUUACCAGGUCUUGACAUCUUCUGACAGUCUAAGAGAUUAGAGGUUCCCUUCGGGGACAGAAUGACAGGUGGUGCAUGGUUGUCCUCAGCUCCUGUCGUGAGAUGUUGGGUUAAGUCCCGCAACGAGCGCAACCCUUAUUACUAGUUGCCAGCAUUAAGUUGGGCACUCUAAUGAGACUGCCGGUGACAAACCGGAGGAAGGUGGGGACGACGUCAAAUCAUCAUGCCCCUUAUGACCGGGGCUACCACCGGGCUCCAAUGGAUGGUACACCGAGUCCGGAGACCCCGAGGUUAAGCUAAUUCCUUAAAACCAUUUCCAGUUCGGAAUUGAGGCUGGCACUCGCCUUACCGGAGUCGGUAUUCCUU
rnacentral:rRNA from 1 species